UUCGGCGAGGGUCUGGAUUGGCGAAUAGAAGGAGCGUGCAUGAGGGGAGGGUCGGCGGCUCCCUCUCGGUUUUUCUUCUCUUGGUUCGUAAUCCCAGGGGGGAUCGAUAGCCCUCCCCCUCUCUGAGUUCGUGAAAUCCAGCAGGACCGAAGCCCCUUUGCUCUCGUCCGACUCUACCUCCAGGACCGAACUCGACGCCUGCUCGAAUCUCCCUCUCUUCGGGUGACUUGGCCAAAACAUCCCCACCCGAAUCCUCCCUCUGUUUGCAGAAGCCAGGCGACGGCCCCCUUCUUCUUGGAUCUCCCUCCCCCACGCGACUGCAGCCGACUCUUGCUUGACUUCACGAGGCAAAUUUGAGCCCAGGUCGCAACCUUCCCUUGCCUUAGCCGAGCUCUUCCCUAACAACAGGGCUUUUGGUAAGGUUACAUUUUGGCUAUUAUAUUGAACGAUGCUUCCUCUUCCUCCCUAGGGCAGGUAUAUUUCUUCUUACUCAUAUGCUCUUCUUCUCCAUAUUUAUCUUCUUCCACCUUCUUCCUUCUCUACAUUUCUUCUCCUUUUCACCUUGCUCAUCUACUUCCCUUGCCUCUUCUUCAAGAAUUGUAGGAGUUGAGUGACUAAUCUAUUGAAUAAGGUUCUGUAAAGCUCAUUCAUUCCUGCUAGAGUUGGUUUCUUGUGGCUUUGUGAAUGAAGUAACUCUCAUUUUAUAAAUACUUCAUCUGACAAAUCAAGUUAAUUGAUCUUGAAAACAUAAAUGUGUCACAUUACAAGAUUUUAAGGGACAAGUAUAUCUCUUGUGUUGAGAAUGUGUCUACUGCAAGUCUGAAUAGCUCUUUGCUUUGAGUUAUCUUAGAAAGGCUAGGUGUGAUGUGACAAUAUAUUUAAAGGAUAUUGUUUUAUAUCAUCUCUUAGAUCUCGCACUCUAGUUAUUCGAUCAAAUGCCUUAGACAGAAUGUCCAUCUUUUAACUUGUGAGUGAGCUAAAAUUUUGUUUUGAGUGAUCAGUUCAUUAUCCUGGUGAAGACCUUACAUUGAGUAGGCUCUUGUUAUAAGAUGAAAGAAGUUCUGAGCUUUCUUGGUAAUAAAUUUGGCAUGCUUGUUUAGUGAUAUGCUCGGUUAAAGGCAAUCUACUGAAUAUCCUUCUUUUCUUGACAUCCAAGAUUUAGAAAAAGGUAUAACUCCUUGAACUCAUGAUGAUAGCUUAAGAGUUUAUUGGAUUAGAGCUGUUGACGCCUACUUUGAUGUGGUCGAUACCUAACAAUAUUCAUAUGGAUGUAUAGAGGUUCUCUACUAGUUUGAAAUUCUAUGGGUAUUAUGCUCUGAUGAGGUUAUUUAAGCUUGAGCACAUGGCUAACAAUAGUUCUCAACACAUUAGAGAAUAUGGUUAUUUUGCCAAAUAGAUUAAUAACUCAUUCUACAAAUUGAUUGAGGCUUCUUUAUUAAACCUUAAUGGGCACGAUGGCAGGAUGAUAUAACCUUGUAAGUUCUUCAAAUUCUUUUAUCCCGUAGUUAUUUGAGCUCCAUGUCUGAGUAAAUUCUGAGCAUAUUCUAUUGUAGUUGUAGGCCUUAUUUGGGUUUUAUUUUUUUAGAAAAUUUUAAGAAAGAAUAUGAAGGAAGCAAAAGCGAAAUUUUAACAGAUUGAGUUGGAAGCUUUCUUAGACCAUUUGAUAGCAUAUGAUGUAGAGUUGGUUGGAGAGCAACCAUGAGCUUCAUAGUUUUCAACUUAUAUCAUGGGAAGCAUGCUUAGUUGCAAGGUUGAUGGAUGAUGAGAUAUCUCUAUGCUUAUUCGAAACAUGUUUCUUCUUCACUUGUUGGGUAUUUAUGCGAAAGAUAUGAUUGGCAAGUAUUACUUCUUUGUAAAAAUUUCUAUAGCUUUUAUGGAUUUCUUUCUCAUUGGUUUUGUGAGAAACGAGUGCAGAUUUUGAGGGUUUUCUCACUGUUUUCAUACAAUAACCCCUACGGCACUUGGGUGAAUUUCUUAUUGCUUUUAUGUGGAAAUUCCUACUGCUUUUAUGGAGCUUUUCUCACUGCUUUUGUGAGAAAUUAGUGUAGUUUUUGAGUGGUUUUCUCACUAAGUUUUACACAGGAAUUUCUACAGCAUUUAUGAGGAACCUUCUUUGCUUUCAUGAGAAAAUUCUUAUAUCUUUUGUAUUUUAUUUUUCACAGUUUUUUUUUUUGUGAGAAACGAAUGCUGAUUUUGUCGGUUUUAUACUCCGAACUAAUUUGGAGAUGAGGUGUAGUGCUUUGGUGCAAGGUGGAGCUCCAUAUGGAUAGUAUCUCAUAAAGUUCAUGGUUAUACAAAGAGUUUAUGCUUUCAAAUUAAAGAUCUUUAUGAGCAUAGGUUAUUUUGUUCGAGAGAUUCCACUGCCAUUUGAUAUUUCUUAUAUAUGCUUGCUUACAAUUAUUAUUAUUAUUAUUAUUUUUGAAUUAAAGCUUUCUUUGGAUUCUCAAUGGCAUGUAACUUCAAGGAACCACAACUGUGAUCAAUAGCGAGGUUCAUGUACUAUGAUCUGAAGAACAUUACUCUACUUUUCUUUGUUCGUGGAUACCGUUGUCAAUUGAGCAACCUGUUAUUUGUCUCUUCUUUUAUUUCUUAAACACCUUCUUUUCUUUUGGAUUAUUUUCUUUCUGGGUUUUGGGUGCUAUACAAUGUGAAGUGUGGUAGGUAUUACUGGCUUUGAAAUUAUAAGGCUGUGUCAGAUCUAUAUUUGUAGUUGAUGGGCUUGUCGUGGAAGAAGCAUGGCUAUUUGGGUUGUUGCACCAAGUUCUUCUGUUGUGGCUGUUUUCAAAUAUAAGUGAUCAGUGGCUAGGUUUAUAACCGUGUCUAUAGUUACUGUUUGCCAGCUAUCAGUGGAUCUUUCAUGGUUGAGCCUUCCUUAUCCUUAGUCUGAUUUAUCUCUUGAACUUGAAAUUUUUGUACUCGAAAGUUGCUUUGGAAAACCAUAUAUAAGAAAGCUUUCUCAAACGAAAACUUAGAAUGUCUUUUUUACAAGAUAGUUAUGAUUAAGGAAGAAAAUACACCAAUGAUGAAUUGCAUCACCAUCUUCGUAGCCGUAUGAUUUCAAGAUUUUUUGGCAUUUAUGCCAAGGCAUGAUUGUUUGCAGCCUGUCAUAUUUUAUUCUUCGUUAUAACCUGAUGAUUUGCAACCACAAGAGUUUUCUAGUGACCCUAGGAAGCUGUAAUAUCACAUUUUUGUAAUGUUAUAUUGUAUCUUAUACGAUAAAAAAAUUGUGAGGGCAAUGAUGAUGUUGACGGAAGUGUAGAGAAUGUAGCCAUCAGCUGCACUUCUGCUAUUUAGUAUCUUUAUGUUUCCUCUGAUAAUGAUGAUUUGGAAUUUAGCCAUUAAUUGCAUAAGGUUGCUAUGGAAUAUCUCUAUGUCUCCAACGUUGCAAGUAGUGGUAGGCUUUUCCUCUUUAUGGCUCUGUUCAAUUAUUAUUUAUUCAUAAAUUUUUGUUGGUUUCAAGGAUAUAUGGCCACUCAACUAUUUUGUUUCUUGUUAGCAUAGACAUUUUCUUGCAUAAUUAUGUGAUAGACAGCAAAAAGGUGUUUGGUUUCAACAUUAAAUACAUGUGGUGCCUCUUGUUGGAAAACAUGUAUGAUUUGCUUUAUAUUGAGAAGAUUUGUGAUUUGAUUCAUGAUUGGGAAGGUUUACAAGUAGCUUCAUGUUGGAAAGUGUUGCAAAUUACUUAAUGUAGGAAAGUUUCAUAUGUUCUUUUAUUGAAAGCUUUACAGAAAGUUUUGCAAACUGUUUUGUGUUAUGAAAAUUUUGCGACUUUGUGAUUGUUUUAUUAUGGAGAAUUUUGUAAAGUCUUCUUAUGGGAGAUUUCCUAUGUUUUUUUUUUACCCCACACCAAAUGUAAAAAAAACACUUGGUUGAUUUUGCGUCAAAAAAGAGUUUUUUUGGUGUUUUAUUUUCUUUUCGAUAAGGGGUUUUAUGUGUUGUUUCAUUUGGAAAUUUCUUAAGUAAAAUUUUGGGAUUUGAAGUGUGAUAGGUAGCUUUGUGUUGGAAGCUUUUUUUUUUUUAAGUGUCUUUUUGGAGCAUAGUAGUCCUUGCUUAUUUGAGUUAUCUUUCUGUAGUGUUGGCCUCUAAAGUGGGGUUUUUGGGUAAAUGGGGUUAGAGGCUCAUUUGGAGUUUUGGUUUUGAGAACUUGUCCCCCUUCGUUGUUUUUGGACUUUAUUUAGGUAAUAAUUUGGAUAGUCAUUUUAAAUAUAUCAAGUGUUUUGUUUGGAUUGUAGGGACAGCAAAGGGCAUUGAAAACUUCUUCCUCCCUAUUCAUAUCACACUGAAUCUGGGUGAAGGUCAUUUUAGAGACACACUUGACUUCAAAGAAGUGUGCCUAACAACAACGAUGCCUACAUUCCUUUCAUUUUGAUUUUCAUUCUUUUUUUUAUUCCAUUACAUUUUGUCGCAUCUUUCUUUGCUUUUAGAAUUUUUGUUGUCUUUUUUAUUUUUGCUCUAAAGUUGAAUGCUCACAAAAGAAUAAGAAAACCCAAAUAGCAAGUGAUCCAUCCGGUGUGCAAAUGAUAAAGAGGUACGUUCUUAUUUAAUUUACACUUUCAUUUUGAUAUUAUUUUCUUAUCUUAUAAAACAUGAUCUCAUACACCUUUAUUCUGUGUUUUGUGAGGCACCCUUUUGGAGAGCAAAGGACAAGGAGCAUUGGAGCACAAGGCGAAUGAGCAUGGACAGUCGGACCCGAGCAUUAGUCGCACCCAUUCAGUCUCGUGGGGACGCUACGGGCGGAACCACCGGAUCAUAACCCCCUGGUGCUUACAUAUUUCUAUAUCAUGAUUCUUCACUACAUAUCCAAUAAAUUAUUUAGAGGUAAUAUUAUACCAAAAUUUUUUAAAACUUUCGAUGUCGGUCUCAAGCCCGGAUGAAAAAUGUUGAGGAUUUGUUAUUUGUGUUAGUUCUCUCAUAUUAAUAUUGCUAUAUAGGUUUUAUCUCAAAAUUACAAUUUAGAUGCAAAUCUUUGCCUUCUCCGACUUCUUCAGGUUAAUGCUCUCCUCUUAACUUUUAAACAACCCAUUUCUGCUGAUACCUUUGUCUUCUUCUUGCUGAUGGCUGCACUAUAUUUAUAGUUUGAGCCACAGAGGAUGAGCAUCAGAGCAUCCAAAUUGUUGAGCAAAUCUUAAUUAAGGUUUAAUGAUUAUAACAUGGCCAAAGAUGCAGUUGAAAACAUUCUUUAUUUAUUUAACAGCUUAUUAUGGUUGUGUUCUUUUCUUUCGACCAGUCUCAGAUGACCAUGCCAGCUCAUGACUUCAGCCUCUGUCUCUUCCUAAUUCCAGAGCAAUUGGUAUACAUUGUUAAAUGAGAUGGUCCUUAAAUAAGUUUUCCUUUUUCCAUACCGAUUACUUUUAGGAUUAUUGAUUUUUGAUAUUGUGAAGAUUAUAAGUUUAUCCUUUUUGCUGUUACCUUUGCGUUUUAAGCCAUUAUUCACUUCUAAAAUGAAGUUCUGUUCUGAUAUCACACUUAUUGUAUAAACAAAUAAGUACAAAGGGAAUGGAAGGUGAAAGGCUACGGAGAUGACUGCAACAGCUUAGCAUGAAGGAGAGUUCUGAAAUAGACGCUAAAGAAGCUUCUUCUCCUAUUAUGACUGUACAUAUGCAGUGAAGAAAGGAUCUAAGCCUACUGUUUUUGUUAAACAUUUUAGGUAAAAGGAAAACAAUCAUGUUAUUUUCAUUUCUCUUGAGAAUUAGAAAUGAGAAAGAGGACAGUUCCUUAAUUAACUAUUUAAGCAUUAACUAUACACAUUAAUUGUUCUUUGGCAUGUAGAAAAGUGAGAUACUCGUUGGACUUGCAAG